rnacentral:rRNA from 1 species
AGUCGAACGAAGUAGCAAUACUUAGUGGCAGACGGGUGAGUAACAUGUAGGUAUCUUCCCAUUGGUGAGGAAUAACACGAGGAAACUUGUGCUAAUACCUCAUAAGUCUUUACGGAGAAAGCUUUAUGCGCCGAUGGAUGAGCCUGCACUUGAUUAGUUUGUUGGUAGGGUAAUGGCCUACCAAGACAAUGAUCAAUAGCUGAUUUGAGAGGAUGAUCAGCCACAUUGGGACUGAGACACGGCCCAAACUCCUACGGGAGGCAGCAGUAGGGAAUCUUGCACAAUGGGGGAAACCCUGAUGCAGCGAUGCCGCGUGAGUGAAGAAGGCCUUUGGGUUGUAAAGCUCUUUCGUCGGGGAAGAAAAUGACUGUACCCGAAUAAGAAGGU